UAGGGAAUCUUCCGCAAUGGACGAAAGUCUGACGGAGCAACGCCGCGUGAGUGAAGAAGGCUUUCGGUUCGUAAAACUCUGUUGUUAGGGAAGAAAAAAUGUAUAGUAACUAUAUACAAAAGAGACGGUACCUAACCAGAAAGCCACGGCUAACUACGUGCCAGCAGCCGCGGUAAUACGUAGGUCCCGAGCGUUGUCCGGAUUUAUUGGGCGUAAAGCGAGCGCAGGCGGUUAGAAAAGUCUGAAGUGAAAGGCAGUGGCUCAACCAUUGUAGGCUUUGGAAACUGUUUAACUUGAGUGCAGAAGGGGAGAGUGGAAUUCCAUGUGUAGCGGUGAAAUGCGUAGAUAUAUGGAGGAACACCGGUGGCGAAAGCGGCUCUCUGGUCUGUAACUGACGCUGAGGCUCGAAAGCGUGGGGAGCGAACAGG
rnacentral:rRNA from 1 species